UUCUAUCAUUCCAUCAGAUAUUUGUAGAAUUUCACAAUAUGCAAAUGCAUCCUUAAGCAAAAUAGGAAAUUGUUUUGUGUGGUUUUUACUUCAUAUGGUGGUGUCAUACUCUACUCAUUCCAUUGCAGCUCUUUCUGUCGGAUGAACAGUAUAUACCUAAAGAUGAAAAUGCAGACAUAAGAAACCUGACAUGUGAAUCUUGACCAGAGCUGUGUUGAUGGUCCUAAAUCUCUCCCUGCUUCACCUGUGCCUCAUGAUUACUUGAACCUUGAAAUUAUAGUAAAGCUUGAUACUAGAUUAGCCCUGAGCUAACAUCUGCCACCAACCCUCUUUUUGC